rnacentral:rRNA from 1 species
AUUGAACGCUGGCGGCAUGCUUUACACAUGCAAGUCGAACGGUAACAGGCCUUCGGGCGCUGACGAGUGGCGAACGGGUGAGUAACGCAUCGGAACGUGCCCAGUCGUGGGGGAUAACGCAGCGAAAGCUGCGCUAAUACCGCAUACGCCCUGAGGGGGAAAGCGGGGGACCUUCGGGCCUCGCGCUGGUGGAAGAGCCUACGUCCGAUUAGCUAGUUGGUAGGGUAAAAGCCUACCAAGGCGACGAUCGGUAGCUGGUCUGAGAGGAUGAUCAGCCACACUGGGACUGAGACACGGCCCAGACUCCUACGGGAGGCAGCAGUGGGGAAUAUUGGACAAUGGGCGCAAGCCUGAUCCAGCAAUGCCGCGUGGGUGAAGACGGCCUGCGGGUUGUAAAGCCCUUUAAGUGGGGAGGAACGGUUGGGUGUGAAUAGCGCCUGAUUAUGACGUUACCCACAGAAUAAGCACCGGCUAACUCCGUG